rnacentral:rRNA from 1 species
CCUACGGGGGGCAGCAGUAGGGAAUUUUCGUCAAUGGGCGCAAGCCUGAACGAGCGAUGCCGCGUGAGUGAAGAAGGCCUUCGGGUCGUAAAGCUCUGUUGCGGGGGAAAAAAGGCAGCAUCAGGAAAUGGGUGCUGACUGAUGGUGCCCCGCCAGAAAGUCACGGCUAACUACGUGCCAGCAGCCGCGGUAAUACGUAGGUGGCGAGCGUUAAUCGGAAUUACUGGGCGUAAAGCGCUCGUAGGCGGUAUGUCAAGUCAAGGGUGAAAUCCCCGCGCUCAACGUGGGAACUGCCUUUGAAACUG